CGGGUGCACUGAUCCAGCCGGGCCUUUCCCUCUGUGGAACCCCAUGGCCUUCACUGGCUGUGGCGGGGAAACAGGACUUUUACUUUGAAAAAAUUAGAGUGCUCCAGGCAGGCCUAUGCUCGAAUACAUUAGCAUGGAAUAAUAGAAUAGGACGUGUGGUUCUAUUUUGUUGGUUUCUAGGACCGCCGUAAUGAUUAAUAGGGACAGUCGGGGGCAUCAGUAUUCAAUUGUCAGAGGUGAAAUUCUUGGAUCUAUUGAAGACUAACUACUGCGAAAGCAUUUGCCAAGGAUGUUUUCAUUGAUAAGGAACGAAAGUUAGGGGAUCGAAGACGAUCAGAUACCGUCGUAGUCUUAACUAUAAACUAUGCCGACUAGGGAUCGGACGAUGUUAUUCUUUGACGCGUUCGGCACCUUUCGAGAAAUCAAAGUGCUUGGGCUCCAGGGGGAGUAUGGUCGCAAGGCUGAAACUUAAAGAAAUUGACGGAAGGGCACCACCAGGGGUGGAACCUGCGGCUUAAUUUGACUCAACACGGGGAAACUCACCAGGUCCAGACACAGUGAGGAUUGACAGAUUGAGAGCUCUUUCUUGAUUCUGUGGGUGGUGGUGCAUGGCCGUUCUUAGUUGGUGGAGUGAUUUGUCUGCUUAAUUGCGAUAACGAACGAGACCUUAACCUGCUAAACAGCCCGUACUGCUUUGGCAGUUCGCCGGCUUCUUAGAGGGACUAUCGG
rnacentral:rRNA from 1 species